rnacentral:tRNA from 1 species
GGCAGCAUGACCGAGUGGUCUAAGGUGGUAGAUUUGAACCCCCAAAUCGGGAAAAUAUCUACUCCGUUCGCGGGCGUGUGUUCGAACCACACUGCUGUCG